CAAAAAUGCUAUUUUUUUAACCUCAAGGUAGUUUGUAUGGAGGGUUUUUAUAUAAAAAGAAUAGAGAACAAGAACACAACUCAGUCUCAGUACUUUACCACUAAUAAUAAAAAAUGUAAAAAGAAAAAAUGUGAAGUGACACAAACUGCAGAUGUAGCCAGUAGAUUCUUACAUGAAUUUAUUAAAAGAAAUGAAAUAAAUAAAGAACAAGUAUUUGAGCUUCUUUAACAUCCCAGAGAACAAUGUGAGAAUUUAUGCAUUUUUGCUUAAGUAUUGCUUGAAAACACAUUGCUGAUAUAUAGCAUAUUAUUAUGAUUAAAAUGAGAUUUAAAAAAAAAACAGUUUACCAUGAGACACUCCCAGUAGAAUCACCAUCAAUCCAAGCACAACUUCCAUGUCUCCUCCUUGUUCAGUGUGCGCUGACAAAGUCAGCAUACUUUAUUAAAUGGCAUGUACAUCUAGGAGUUAACAGUCACAAUUGUCGUUAUUUUUUCUUUCUUCAGACUGAACACAGUUAUGUUCCCCUUGGGAAGCAUCUUCAAACACUUCAUUUCACGGCCACUAGCAUCAGUCAUCACUUGGACAUACACAGUUCCUUCAAGAAGAGGAGAGCAUGGACAUGUGUUUGUCCUGAGGUCACAUGUGGUUGCAUCAACUGGAAAGAGAGCUGGAGAAGAUGCAUUUAAUAGAACAUGAGGUGAAUUAUUCACACUACAAAUGUGAAUGUUUGGCUUCUUUAUGAGGACAAUCUUACCUUGAGUUCCUCCUACUAAUAGCACAAUGAUAAAAAACAGUUCCAUGCUCUUCAUUCACCCACGGUGUGGUUUUAAUCUUUCAAAGCUUCUAGAAAAUUAUGUACAAAUCUGGGUGUAAAUCUGCUGCAAACCUGAGUCCUAACUGACAGGAAACAGUCAAUGGGAGAUGAUAUAUUUAGUUAUUUUCAAAGUUAGGAAAUCAACUUUCACUUCUGCUUGCCAACAAAAAGACUCAGAUGAGUUGUCUGCGUUUUGUAGUGACCUGAUCUCAAGAAAUAUCCAUCAAAUGCAAAUAAACAAUUUCCCCCUCACUUUUAUACGCAAUACUGAAUCUAGACAAAACACACUUUCAAAAGUGUGUCAGGCACACACACUUUCUUCACAUAUACGUUUGAGAAAGAACAUGCAACAUCUGAAGUGACACGUUAAGUCACAAACAGUUGUUCCUGUGGGGAGAGCUUUAUUGCUUAAGAGUCUUUACAGGGUGUCCAAGAGAGACAUCUUUUUAUGUUUGUAAGUUUGCAGAGUUUGCUUUCUGAAAGGAAGGAAACAAAAUUAUGUAGAAAGAAUAAAACGUAAACAACCUAUGAAAAAGCAGCUUACUAAAAGGAUGCAAAUCAUGAGCACGAUAUGAAACAGUGAGGCAAUGCUGACCAACAAACAAAGAAGCCUUUUGUCUACCAAAGAAGGCUGAAUUCAAUAUGAGAAUCUCAGCUACACAACUAAAUAAUAAACAACAAUAAUCAAUAAAUAAAUGUACAUGACAUGAUUAUGUGAUGGAAGCAAACAUUACAGAUCUUCACUUUUCUAAUUAGCCUCAGGCUAAUUAGCAGGCCUUUAGCAUGAUGAGUGAUGAUGAACAUGAAUAUAAGAAGAAUCAAGUAAACCACUGUUUAAUCAAGGUAAAGAAGAAUGUAAAUAGUUUACUUACAGUUAAAUGGAUGCACAGAGCAGCACAGACUAAGGUAGUAUGUAAGCACUGAGCUACAAGUGAGAAAAGCUCAUCUGCCAAAAAAAAAGACCGAUGCAUGGGUACUUCCUGCUUUACA
rnacentral:lncRNA from 1 species